rnacentral:rRNA from 1 species
UACGGAGGGUGCAAGCGUUAUCCGGAAUCAUUGGGUUUAAAGGGUCCGCAAGCGGGUUUAUAAGUCAGUGGUGAAAGCCUACAGCUCAACUGUAGAACUGCCAUUGAUACUGUAGAUCUUGAAUUCGGUCGAAGUGGGCGGAAUAUGACAUGUAGCGGUGAAAUGCUUAGAUAUGUCAUAGAACACCGAUAGCGAAGGCAGCUCACUAGGCCUGGAUUGACGCUCAGGGACGAAAGCGUGGGGAGCAAACAGGAUUAGAUACCCCGGUAGUCC